GACGAACGCUGGCGGCGCGCUUAACACAUGCAAGUCGAACGGAAAGGCCUGCUUUCCCUUGUGGAUUGCGGGUACUCGAGUGGCGAACGGGUGAGUAACACGUGAGUGAUCUGCCCCCAACUUGGGUAUAAGCCUGGGAAACUGGGUCUAAUUCCCGAUAGGACUGCAGGGUGGUGCCUGUGGUGGAAAACGAUUUUCUAGUGGUUGGGGAUGAGAUCGCGGCCUAUCAGCUUGUUGGUGGGGUAAUGGCCUACCAAGGCGGCGACGGCUAGCCGGCCUGGGAGGGUGGGCGGCCACAUUGGAACUGAGAUACGGCCCAGGCUCCUACGGGAGGCAGCAGUGGGGAAUAUUGCACAGUGGGCGGAAACCUGAGGCAGCGACGCCGCGUGGGGGAUGACGGGCUUCGGGUUGUAAACUCCUUUCGACCGCGAGGAAGCCACCUGGUUGGAAGGGUAGUGACGGUAGUGGUAGAAGAAGCACCGGCUAACUACGUG
rnacentral:rRNA from 1 species